rnacentral:rRNA from 2 species
CUGGUCUUGACAUCCACAGAAUUUUUUAGAAAUAAAAAAGUGCCUUCGGGAACUGUGAGACAGGUGCUGCAUGGCUGUCGUCAGCUCGUGUUGUGAAAUGUUGGGUUAAGUCCCGCAACGAGCGCAACCCUUAUCCCCUGUUGCCAGCGGUUCGGCCGGGAACUCAGAGGAGACUGCCGGUUAUAAACCGGAGGAAGGUGGGGACGACGUCAAGUCAUCAUGGCCCUUACGACCAGGGCUACACACGUGCUACAAUGGUUUAUACAAAGAGAAGCAAAUCUGUAAAGACAAGCAAACCUCAUAAAGUAAAUCGUAGUCCGGACUGGAGUCUGCAACUCGACUCCACGAAGUCGGAAUCGCUAGUAAUCGUGGAUCAGAAUGCCACGGUGAAUACGUUCCC